CGCCCGCCUCAGCCUCCCAAAGUGCUGGGAUUACAGGCAUGAGCCACUGCGCCCGGCCUCGACAGCGACUCUUUAAGGCCCCUACUCUAA
rnacentral:miRNA from 1 species